rnacentral:rRNA from 1 species
UACGAAGGGGGCUAGCGUUGUUCGGAAUUACUGGGCGUAAAGGGCUCGUAGGCGGCCAACUAAGUCAGACGUGAAAUCCCUCGGCUUAACCGGGGAACUGCGUCUGAUACUGGAUGGCUUGAGUUCGGGAGAGGGAUGUGGAAUUCCAGGUGUAGCGGUGAAAUGCGUAGAUAUCUGGAGGAACACCGGUGGCGAAGGCGGCAUCCUGGACCGACACUGACGCUGAUGAGCGAAAGCCAGGGGAGCAAACGGG